UCAGGAUUAUAAUUUCCCUCUUUGGGAGAUGGUCUCAAAUCCAGUUGUUGAUUAUUAUUUUUCUUCUUUUUUCGUUUUCAGGCGACACUUAUGCCAACAACCGUGAACCAUCCCAGCGUCUUCUUGGCGAGCAGCUCGAUCCUCCGUGAUUGCUAAGCAACAGCAAAACGGAAACCUCUCGGGAGAGGCUACUACUACCACCUUGGUACCUUCUACCUCCAACUCUAAUCUGGAUUGAGUCAAAACCGAGCCUGUGAGACAGAUUCAUCUCAGCGAUUGGUUCCUGAUCAGAACGUGUGUCCUAACGAGAACAGUCUAUCAGGCAAGAGAAAAGAACUCGAGAAAGAGGUUAAUAAAUCUCAACAAAGAAGAAGAUUUGUGAAACGGAUCAAGAAGAAAAGGUGGUGGAGAAGAUGACGUCAUCUCUGACUUUGGAAGCUGUGGAGGAUGAAUGGUUGGUUUCGAACUCUUACAUUUGAGAAAGUUGCUGUAACUAAGAAGUAUAUCAAUAUGACCAUUACAACCAUUCAUCCUCCAUGAGACACAAACGCAUGAGACACAUCCAACAGCCUAAAGAAAAGUCACUUAUUCAUAUAACCUGUUUGUUGAUAUUCCUAAGAGAAUAGUAAAGUGAUGUUUUGCAUAGUUUCACGAACAUUUGUUUUCUUAAUGGUGUUAUUUUAGGAGUUGAAAUAUUUUUUUUCUAAUAAUGAGUUGUGAGUUGUCAACUGAA